rnacentral:rRNA from 1 species
UGGGCGUAAAGCGCGCGUAGGCGGUUACGUAAGUUGGAUGUGAAAUCCCCGGGCUCAACCUGGGAAUUGCAUUCAAAACUGCGUGGCUAGAGUGUGGGAGAGGAAGGUAGAAUUCCAGGUGUAGCGGUGAAAUGCGUAGAUAUCUGGAGGAAUACCGAUGGCGAAGGCAGCCUUCUGGCCUAACACUGACGCUGAGGUGCGAAAGCAUGGGGAGCAAACAGGAUUAGAUACCCUGGUAGUCCAUGCCGUAAACGAUGUCUACUAGCCGUUGGGGGACUUGAUCCUUUAGUGGCGCAGCUAACGCAUUAAGUAGACCGCCUGGGGAGUACGGUCGCAAGACUAAAACUCAAAUGAAUUGACGGGGGCCCGCACAAGCGGUGGAGCAUGUGGUUUAAUUCGAUGCAACGCGAAGAACCUUACCUGGCCUUGACAUGUCUGGAAUCCUGUAGAGAUACGGGAGUGCCUUCGGGAAUCAGAACACAGGUGCUGCAUGGCUGUCGUCAGCUCGUGUCGUGAGAUGUUGGGUUAAGUCCCGCAACGAGCGCAACCCUUGUCCUUAGUUGCCAGCACGUAAUGGUGGGAACUCUAGGGAGACUGCCGGUGACAAACCGGAGGAAGGCGGGGACGACGUCAAGUCAUCAUGGCCCUUACGGCCAGGGCUACACACGUGCUACAAUGGUCGGUACAAAGGGUUGCCAACUCGCGAGAGUGCGCUAAUCCCAAAAAGCCGAUCGUAGUCCGGAUUGGAGUCUGCAACUCGACUCCAUGAAGUCGGAAUCGCUAGUAAUCGC